rnacentral:rRNA from 1 species
GACGAACGCUGGCGGCGUGCUUAACACAUGCAAGUCGAACGGAAAGGCCCUGCUUGCAGGGUACUCGAGUGGCGAACGGGUGAGUAACACGUGGGUGAUCUGCCCUGCACUUCGGGAUAAGCCUGGGAAACUGGGUCUAAUACCGGAUAGGAGCCAUUUUUAGUGUGAUGGUUGGAAAGUUUUUUUCGGUGUAGGAUGAGCUCGCGGCCUAUCAGCUUGUUGGUGGGGUAAUGGCCUACCAAGGCGGCGACGGGUAGCCGGCCUGAGAGGGUGGACGGCCACAUUGGGACUGAGAUACGGCCCAGACUCCUACGGGAGGCAGCAGUGGGGAAUAUUGCAAAAUGGGCGCAAGCCUGAUGCAGCGACGCCGCGUGGGGGAUGACGGCCUUCGGGUUGUAAACUCCUUUCGCUAGGGACGAAGCUUUUUGUGACGGUACCUAGAGAAGAAGCACCGGCUAACUACGUG